rnacentral:rRNA from 1 species
UACGCUUCUUUUUCCACCGGAGCUUGCUCCACCGGAAAAAGAGGAGUGGCGAACGGGUGAGUAACACGUGGGUAACCUGCCCAUCAGAAGGGGAUAACACUUGGAAACAGGUGCUAAUACCGUAUAACAAUCGAAACCGCAUGGUUUUGAUUUGAAAGGCGCUUUCGGGUGUCGCUGAUGGAUGGACCCGCGGUGCAUUAGCUAGUUGGUGAGGUAACGGCUCACCAAGGCCACGAUGCAUAGCCGACCUGAGAGGGUGAUCGGCCACAUUGGGACUGAGACACGGCCCAAACUCCUACGGGAGGCAGCAGUAGGGAAUCUUCGGCAAUGGACGAAAGUCUGACCGAGCAACGCCGCGUGAGUGAAGAAGGUUUUCGGAUCGUAAAACUCUGUUGUUAGAGAAGAACAAGGAUGAGAGUAACUGUUCAUCCCUUGACGGUAUCUAACCAGAAAGCCACGGCUAACUACGUGCCAGCAGCCGCGGUAAUACGUAGGUGGCAAGCGUUGUCCGGAUUUAUUGGGCGUAAAGCGAGCGCAGGCGGUUUCUUAAGUCUGAUGUGAAAGCCCCCGGCUCAACCGGGGAGGGUCAUUGGAAACUGGGAGACUUGAGUGCAGAAGAGGAGAGUGGAAUUCCAUGUGUAGCGGUGAAAUGCGUAGAUAUAUGGAGGAACACCAGUGGCGAA